rnacentral:rRNA from 1 species
UACGAAGGGUGCAAGCGUUAAUCGGAAUUACUGGGCGUAAAGCGUGCGCAGGCGGUUUUGUAAGUCAGAUGUGAAAUCCCCGGGCUUAACCUGGGAACUGCGUUUGAAACUACAAGGCUAGAGUGUAGCAGAGGGGGGUGGAAUUCCGGCGUGUAGCAGUGAAAUGCGUAGAUAUGCGGAGGAACACCGAUGGCGAAGGCAUCCCCUGGGCCUGCACUGACGCUCAUGCACGAAAGCGUGGGGAGCAAACAGG